UACGGAGGGUGCGAGCGUUGUCCGGAAUCAUUGGGCGUAAAGGGCGCGUAGGUGGCCCGGUCAGUUCGUGGUGAAAGCGCGGGGCUCAACCCUGCGUCGGCCAUGAAUACUGCCGCGGCUGGAGCACUGUAGAGGCAGGUGGAAUUCCGGGUGUAGCGGUGGAAUGCGUAGAGAUCCGGAAGAACACCGGUGGCGAAGGCGGCCUGCUGGGCAGUGGCUGACGCUGAGGCGCGACAGCGUGGGGAGCAACAGG
rnacentral:rRNA from 1 species